rnacentral:lncRNA from 1 species
GGAGAAUAACAUUAUACAGAGUUGCUUACAAGAACAAAGAGAAAUACAAUAACCCAACCUCUAGGAAUUAGAGAGCCUAGUCUCUCCCAACUAACCAAACAUAAAAAUAACCGAAUGCCCUCCCUUUUCCCUUUCAGCCUUUAUUUAUUAUUCUAACUUCCUACAACAUUUCUUACUUUCUACGGUAGCAGUUACCAAUCACACAACAUCGUAGAAAUUAC